rnacentral:rRNA from 1 species
AUACGUAGGGGGCGAGCGUUGUCCGGAAUGAUUGGGCGUAAAGGGCGCGUAGGCGGCCCGGUAAGUCUGGAGUGAAAGUCCUGUUUUUAAGAUGGGAAUUGCUUUGGAUACUGUCGGGCUUGAGUGCAGGAGAGGUAAGUGGAAUUCCCAGUGUAGCGGUGAAAUGCGUAGAGAUUGGGAGGAACACCAGUGGCGAAGGCGACUUACUGGACUGUAACUGACGCUGAGGCGCGAAAGUGUGGGGAGCAAACAGGAUUAGAUACCGUGGUAGUCCACACUGUAAACGAUGAAUGCUAGGUGUAGGGGGUAUCGACCCCUUCUGUGCCGCAGUCAACACAAUAAGCAUUCCGCCUGGGGAGUACGGCCGCAAGGUUGAAACUCAAAUGAAUUGACGGGG